CAAUUUUUUGAAUUAUCGAAGUUUCGAAAUAUUCGUUUUAACAAAAGCUCGAAUUGUGCGAUUCAAGAAAAAUCGACUUUUCUACGUACGGAAUUUGGGAAAACUUCCUUCAUAAAAGUUGUAGAGCUCGUCGAUAUGAUCGCGUGCAUAUGUCGAACGAAAUUUUUGGAGUUCGUACGAUUAUGUUACGAAUUUUGGAAAUAUGAGAUUCUUUUUAUAAUCUCUUUUCCUCGGAUUCUCUUUUAGAAAUUUCUUUUUCUUCCUUUUCCUUUUUCUUUUCCUUUCCUCCGGGUCUCCUUCCUUCUUUUUCUUUUUCUCUUUAUUUUUCUUCUUUCUCUCUCUCGCUCGACCGAAACCGAAAACAGAGCAAAGGCUCUUCGGUCUCUCUCUACCUCCACCGGCCACCAAACGGCGUCGAACCACUUCCUUUUGCUUCGUCUCAGCCUUGCGCAGCUGCCAGAGGCAGCCUUGCACCGUGACACGGCCACCAGCGGCUGCGGGAAGCUCCGCCCGGUUUGAGCUCGUUUUGGAAACAAGCUUGAUAUCUCUCGAUUCCGGCCACCAGUCCUCGUCAGACUUCUUCCAUUGGCUUCGCCUUGACCUUGCGCACCUGUCUGUGGCAGCCUUGCACCGCGGCGCGGCCUGUAGCGGCGGAGGGAAGCUCGGCCCGAUUUGAGUUCGAUUUUGAGUCAACGCCGAUAUCUCGAGUUCUAGGCGACCAAUCUUCAAUAUUCUUGGACUGGUGAACUCAGAUUGAGGAUAUGAACAAGUUUCAUGAAGAGAUCGAGCUGAGUGGUGGAACUUUUUACGUCGAAUGGAGCACCCGCCGGUUUCUGGAAAAUUUCCGGCCAAACCCAACUGUUCUAGGUGAUCGACGGUUUGAUUUGGCGGACGAUUCGUGAAAUUGUAUUUUGAGCUGUUAAGAAGACGCAGCGGGAAUUUAGAGCGGGAAAUCCUACAGGUCAGGAAGAUCAAGGCGGAGAUCGUGCGGGUUAGAGUUUUUGUUUCAGUUUACAGCUUUGUAAAUUGUGAGAUGUAUUAUUGAGAGUUGUGAAGUGUGGUUGUUGUGAGAAAAAAAUUCAGGACGUUUAUUCUAUUAAGUUGUAUAAUUCAUGUUUUCGGAUUUUAAUUGUAUUUAAAAUUCGGGGCGU